GAUUGAUCUAGCAGACCUCCUCCAUUUGCUGAAAGUAAGGGAGGCGAUAGGGACCAUUAAAAGACCUGGUGAGUCACAGUGCAUAGUGAGUGCACAGCCCUAACCCACCACCCUGCUCCAGCCUAGUGCAACUGCCUGCUGGCAUGCAUUAGUAGCCAGCAGCCUGCACACUACACAGGCCUUUCAUUACUGUCACUAUGUGACCAGCAUGUGGCCAGUCAGGUCAGGAACAGACUGCCCAGGAAUGCCCAGUUGCUGUCCAGUGAGUGCAGACACCAUUCCAGGGCCCAGCCAAGCCAACAAGUUGGUGCCUGCCUAGCUAGUGGAUGCCCACCUAGCCAGUUGAUGCCCACCCAGAUAGUUGUCACCUGCAAAUAUCAGGGACCAACCACCCAGAAUUCAGCUAGCCUUCUGGUCUGCACUCAGACCAGACAGCUGGCAUAAGAAAAGCUAUUCAGUGCCCGCCAAGACCAGGGAAUAGCCACCUGCCCAGUGGCCACUCAGGCCAGCCAUCGGGCAUUUAACCACCAUGCUGUGCCCCCCAAUGCCAGGGGAUAGCCAAGACUCAGGCUAGCCAUACUGCUUCUGCUGAGAUCUGGACCAAAACUGGAACAGCCCCCUGGAUCUGGGACCAGCCGUCUGGCACCCUCAAAAACCAUGGGCCAGCCACCUGCCCAGCCAGCAGCCAUCUGACAGUCCAGUAUCAGCAGCUGAAAACAGCAAAGGUCAGUGGGAAUGCCCCUUUACUUUUAAAUAUAUUUUGAGGAACACUCCAAGCACCAUAGCCACUAAUGUUUUGAUGAGGAGGGCAAUGCAUCAGCGGCAGAACUGCUGCCGGUGCGGCUGCACUGGGGCCCACAUGCCAAGAGAGCUCAUUGGGUUGCCCAUUCAGCAAGAGCCUUCUAAUAGCAUAGUAUCCUCAGUGGUCUUUUCAGUGCUGCGGCCCUUAAAUAGUGUGAACGGGCAGCUGUCAUUAUCUCAGUGCUGGGAGGAAGUAUGUGUGUAUCUGCAUGUGUGGAAGUGUGUGCCUGUGUAUUUAUCUGUGUGUCUGUAUGUGUGUAUCAGUGUGUCUGUGUGUGUCACCCUGUGUAUGUGUGUGUGCAUUUGUAGAUGCAUGGUUGUGCGUGUGUGUAUCUGUGCGUCUGUGUAUCUGUGUUAGUGUGUAUGUCUGUAUUUGCAUGGUGCAUCAAGUACUAUAAGAGGGGACAUAAAUAAUUCUUGCACCAGCGCCCUGUCUUCUUAAGUUCCACCACUGCAAUGCAUUGAAAAAAAUGGAUUAGAUUAAAUUAGCCCCUCUCUCUCUCUCCUUGAAAACAUUUGUAUAUUUCUUAUUUUGAGUGUAGUGUGUUUUUUUUUUCUUCUUGACAUUGUAAAAGUAACUCAAAAGCUUUUUACAGUGUAUACAAUAGGGUAAUGGCAGCAUGACACAAAAGGAAGUUUCUGUGCAUGGUUACUAUAGAAAAACUAAAGGCUGUAUUGGCAUUAAGCCGAUUGCUUGGAAAAACUGUUAAUAAAAAAGCAUUUUACUGUUUCCAAGACCGGUAUAGUCACCCAAAUGGUGAGGUGGUCUGGGUGCAGUGGUCCUGUCAUCUGAACCCUGCAAUAUAAAAAUAUUGCUUUUUAUUUUUGGAACCUUCAAUGUUUACAUUGCCGGGUUAAAUCCACAUCUAGUGGCUGUCUUCCUAAUAGCCACUAAAUGCACUUCAGCUGCACUGACUGGGUAAAACUUCCACGUAAUGUGGAAGCUUAUAGGAAAGCAUUGGAAAGGUGAGCAGCACCGAGGGAGUGUUACAGCUGGAAGGUAAGUAAAAAGCGUUAUUUUAUUAAAUCUAUUGGAAAAGGGGAGGGGGGACAGAUAUAUAUCCAGAAACAGGGGCACUAUGUUAUAGGUUUGUAUUCCAAAAGCUAUAGUGUUCUUUUAAAACACUUUAAAUUAAACCAAGGGUUUUUAAUUGUAAGCUGGCAGUUCUUUAAGCAACAAAACCUCUUUUUCGAUUAUCUCAUGUUAACCAAACCUGGCAGAGUUCCUCUCCUGAGAUUGGACUCUCAACUGCAAGACUUGUACCAGGGCUCCAACCAGGUUUGCCCCCUCUUCAUGGAAUGCCCUUCUAUGGGACACCUGAUUUUUUUUUUCCUCUUGACUCCUACUAUCUUCCUCUGCUGUUUCCCAUCUUCUGUUUUCUCUCCUCCCAAACACCACUCCCAUCGUCGGGUACGUUCAGAUCACUUGAUUCCCUCAUUUCCCUUUUUGUAUUUGUCCCUCAUCCCUUUAGAUUGUAAGGGCCAUCUUCACCUACUAUUCUUGUAUGUCAUACAUGUUUUAUUAGAAUUAAAUGUUUAUCUUGUUUACCCAUUGUACAGCACUGUGGAAUAUCUUGGCACUAAAUAAAUAAUUGUAAUUAUAAUUUUUAUAUUACUGUACAUCAUUUUGAUAAAUUUUCUGAAAUACAACAUGUGCUAUGUUUUACAAGCCAACAAGCAACAAGUACGCAUCAUUUGUUAUUUCAAUAAAUAAUCAAUACAUUAACAAAAACAUUGAAUUGUAAAAAUUGCUAAUGUACUUAUUGUGCUAAUAACCUAUGGUCUUUAUAACAUAAAGGAUAGAAAGGUUAAUACAAGUGGGGGAAGCUUAUCCUCAAGUGGCAUAGCACAAUUGCUGACAAAUUGAUGUUAUGUUGACUUCGGAGAGGUGCAAAGAAAUUUCUAACCACAAUGCUGUCUCCUGCGGUGUAGGAGGUAUUGUUCCAAAUUUCUGCUUACAGCAAGAUAAUGAUUACAAAUCACACAGCUGGAAAAAACUCUGCAAAAUAAGGAGACAUAUGGAGUCUUUUAAUGCAUCAAAUGGCUCUCUGAAAGCUCAAAUGUCAAUAGUAUUUUAGUUGCAUGGCAGUAGGAGACUAUUUGGACUGAAAAACAAAGAAUGACAUCAACAGAAGAUAAUCUAUUGAAUAUCCUGAAAUGAUUCUGGAGCUCUAUUCCUUAGCAAAACUGAAAGGUUAUCUAUAAUAGGCAUAGGAAAACACUGGGGUAGAUUGAAGACAAUUUUUUUCAAUGUGCUAUAUAAAAAAUGUAAUACCAUUAUGCAUGAAACUUAAUACAUAUAUAAAUGGUUCACCUCUGAAUUUCUCACUUUGCCAGUUUUCUGAGGCUCUUGGUGAUGUGUCAAUUAAAAAUGACUUAGAAAUCUUGAUCAGUCCAUGUUAAGAAGUUGGAACCAGUUUAAGAAUAAGGGAAUAUGUGUGUCUCUGUAGUACCAGCCAUAGACACUUACACUUUGUGUCAUCUAUGUCUGUAAAAAACAAUUACAGGGAAGUAGGGCUAAGGGACACAAGUGUUAGUUAUUUAUGCUGUAACUAUGUACCUGUAUUUGGCAUAAUAAUAAAAAAAAGGUAUUUCAUUCUGAAAAUGGUUGACUACUCUGCAUACCAAAGCCGUUUGAGAAUGAAAUUCUUUGCAAAUCACGUCAGUGCAGUAUUUCAGUAAGACUCAUUACAAUGGAGAUACAAUAUCUUGCGUUGCAUAAAUGGGACAGUUUAGGUUGCUUUUAAUGCAAAAGGCAAAGCAACAGACUAUCUCUACCCAUAAACUACCAGUUGAUCAACAUCUCCAAAAAGUUUUGAAAUAAACAUUACUUUUUUACCAAGAAAAAAAAAGGAUUGGAAGGCCAAACAAUUAUUCAUAUGUAUUAUUAAAACUAAUUAAGAAAAUCAUUUACCGGUAAUAAAAUCUAGCCAGUAUAACUACUUCUUAUCCUAACUAUUACCCUCACUUUAAUUUCAUUGCUAACCAGAUAGUACCCUCAUCCGCCAAUCAUAUCAGCCACAGCCCCAGCCUCAGCCCCAGAAUGCUCUCAUUCCUCAAGCAUAUCAAUCGGAUCCACAUAGGGCCAUCAAACUCCCAAUUAUAUACAUUUCAAAUAGAUAUUGUCCUCAAUAUUGUCCUAAAUCCCCAGUCAUAUCAAUCCCAGAAAGAAGAAAAGAAAGGUUAGCGCUAAUAAUAACUGUAUAUAAAAAAAAUAAAGGCAGCGGCCUUAUAGAGGGUCAUCCUCUAACCCUCUACAGUAGGAAUAUAUACAAAAACAGAGAAUAAGGCUGCGCCAAGAAAAUAGUUAAAACAAGUCCAAAUAAAAUGAUUUCAAAUAAAAUGUUCUAAUAAGAGAGUCCCAAUAAUAGGUGGUGUUUCAACUGGUAUGGUGUCUUCCUUAGCAGUGGUCGUCCGUCUCACGAUAUGAAAGACACAAUGGGAGAGAGCCAAUUGUGCAGAGUGUAUAAAUAAAUAAUAUUUGAAUAAAAUAUAAAUUACACACUCACAUUGCCAUGAGCUAGGACCAGCUCAGGUAUGAUGGGCAUACGGCAGAUAACCCUCCGCUUGUAGGGGUGCUUGUCCUCCUGGAGCGUCCUGGUGUCCAAAUUCUCAGGGAAAGAAAAUAAAAACAGCCAAUAGUGCUCUCUGGUGAGGUAGUUUGUAGAGAGGAUAAAAAAUAAAUAAAAUAUACUCACAAGUGGAGUGCAGGUCAAUCUGCACUCUGAUAUUCGCGUGGGUGGUAUAAUCCCCACCUUAGGAUAUGCCAGGAACAAUAAAUGAGGUUAAAAGUAAUAAUAAUUAUAAAAUUAUUUAUUAGUACAAUGUUUUAAAACCAAUAACGCGUUUCGCCUUAGAGGCUUUAUCAAAUUGGAAUAGUAUAGAUACCUGGCACAUUAGGAGUAUAUAUAGCUAGUACAAACAUUUAAAAUUGGCGCCAAAAAAUUGAUCAACCAAUAGAAAUGAUACAAAAUAUAAAUAAAAAAUAUACAUACAAAAGGUAAAAAAUGAUAUAAAUUAUAGAUGUUUAUAAACAUAGGAUGAUAUGUAUAUAUAAAUAUAUAAAAAACGAGCAUUAUAUUGUGUGGGAAUAGAAUAAAAAUAAAACUUUCGGUUUCGUGCGAGUCACGUGACCCGCAAUGCACCUUGGGGCAUGUAGUGCCGGGUCACGUGACCGCCGAUAUACAUAUACACAGUCCGUGCGUCCGCAACUGAAGAAAACGGCACGCACGGACUGGGGAGCAGGAGGGCGGGUUCGGACCUUGUCACAUGACCCGCGGCGUCAUGAAUCAAUAAUACCCGCGGGCCAGGUGACUAUAACCGCGAGGAACACUGGGAAGUGUAGUUUAAAACAGCAAAAUGAAUAGAAUUAGAAGAUAACAUAUAAUGGAAAAUAAUCAGGUAUAAAACAAAUCAGUAUGUAAUUAGAACAGGCAUAUUAAAAUAUAUAGAGUAUAUGUCAAAUAAACAUACAUAAAUUUAGUACAUAUAAAAGGUGGAUACAAGUCAAAUAGGGGGGGCAUAGAAUAAUAAAUCGAAUAAUAAAUCAAAAAUAGCAAUAGAAAUAAAUAUAAAAUAUAUAUAUCUCUACCCAUAAACUACCAGUUGAUCAACAUCUCCAAAAAGUUUUGAAAUAAACAUUACUUUUUUACCAAGAAAAAAAAAGGAUUGGAAGGCCAAACAAUUAUUCAUAUGUAUUAUUAAAACUAAUUAAGAAAAUCAUUUACCGGUAAUAAAAUCUAGCCAGUAUAACUACUUCUUAUCCUAACUAUUACCCUCACUUUAAUUUCAUUGCUAACCAGAUAGUACCCUCAUCCGCCAAUCAUAUCAGCCACAGCCCCAGCCUCAGCCCCAGAAUGCUCUCAUUCCUCAAGCAUAUCAAUCGGAUCCACAUAGGGCCAUCAAACUCCCAAUUAUAUACAUUUCAAAUAGAUAUUGUCCUAAAUCCCCAGUCAUAUCAAUCCCAACCUCAUAGUUCCCUGUGCCCAAAGUUAAAUCAAUCAUGUAAUAUUCUCAUCAUCUUAGUCAUAUCAAUGCCACACAUACACUGUCCUUAGCCCCCAAAAUCUCUUAGCUCCCGAAUCAUAUCAGCCCUACACAGGUAGUGCCAUCAUACACCAUUUGUCAUAUAAAUACAAGGCACUGCCUGCUCUGUGAAUGAGAUGCAGCCAUCCCAAAUACCCAGUGUUUCAGAUGAACAAUUAUUAUUUUAGGGUCCUAUCUCACCAUCCUAAUUUGUAGGCUCACACUUACUUUCAGUAGGUGCCCCUGCAUCUUUCCAGGUGGGCCUGCCCAUUGAUUACUAUGGGUUUCUACUAUGGGUUACCUGUCAACUAGGUCCAUCUUUGCAUACCUCCCAAUGUUAUGUUGGCAAGUAUGGAAAUGGAGCCAGAGAGGGUGGAAGCAGGACUGUGACAUCAUAAAAACCCUAUAUUCUCACUAACUACAAGGCCUGUAGCAUAGAGAGCAGGCAUAGAGCUGGUGUGACUGUUAUUGUAUAUGAAGUUGGGAGAGACUGUUACUGCUGAUUCACAGACCUGGGCCUUGGAAAAGCUUUGAUCUGCUGUCCCUCAGACUUCCAGUCUGUGCGACGAUAUGUUAUAUAUCAUAUAUAAUAUUGCCUAGCAAGCUGUUGUAUUUAUUUGGUCACAAGGCUUACUUUACCUAAUGCUUGGGCCACAUCUGGCAGCAAUAUUAUUCAGAAGUCUUGGCUUGAAAACCCAAUGUAUAUACUAAUGCAAUGCCAGCAGUAGCCAAAAACAGUGCUUAUAUUUCAUAGUCUGUUUACUCUGAAAUGAUCUUAUGACACAAAAGUAAGUUUAUUCACAUGAAAUCUCUCUGCUUUUAGGUCUGCAUUUUGCAUACCCAUCAUUGCCAUUCUGUUGAACAAACUUACCACAUAUUAAGAAUUUUAAGAUAAGCAUAUUGUGACAAACUGAACCUUGUCACGUGUUCUUGGAGGGGCCUGCUGGCCAGCCUCUUACCAAAAGACUAUGGGCCCUUUAAAAAACUAUGUAAACAG
rnacentral:lncRNA from 1 species